GCCCGGAUGGUCUAGUCGUAUGAUUCUCGCUUUGGGUGCGAGAGGUCCCGGGUUCAAAUCCCGGUUCGGGCC
rnacentral:tRNA from 1 species